UACGGGGGGAGCAAGCGUUGUUCGGAUUUACUGGGCGUAAAGAGCGUGUAGGCGGCCAGGUAGGUCUGCUGUGAAAACUCGAGGCUCAACCUCGAGACGUCGGCGGAAACCAUCUGGCUAGAGUCCGGAAGAGGAGAGUGGAAUUCCUGGUGUAGCGGUGAAAUGCGCAGAUAUCAGGAGGAACACCGAUGGCGAAGGCAGGUCUCUGGGCCACUACUGACGCUGAGAAGCGAAAGCAUGGGGAGCGAACAGG
rnacentral:rRNA from 1 species